rnacentral:rRNA from 1 species
GGAACUUAAGCAUAUCAAUAAGCGGAGGAAAAGAAACCAACAGGGAUUGCCUCAGUAACGGCGAGUGAAGCGGCAACAGCUCAAAUUUGAAAUCUGGCCCCAGGCCCGAGUUGUAAUUUGCAGAGGAUGCUUUUGGCGCGGUGCCUUCCGAGUUCCCUGGAACGGGACGCCAUAGAGGGUGAGAGCCCCGUCUGGUUGGACACCAAGCCUCUGUAAAGCUCCUUCGACGAGUCGAGUAGUUUGGGAAUGCUGCUCAAAAUGGGAGGUAUAUGUCUUCUAAAGCUAAAUACCGGCCAGAGACCGAUAGCGCACAAGUAGAGUGAUCGAAAGAUGAAAAGCACUUUGAAAAGAGAGUUAAAUAGCACGUGAAAUUGUUAAAAGGGAAGCGUUUAUGACCAGACUUGGGCCGGUUAAUCAUCCAGCGUUCUCGCUGGUGCACUUUGCCGGUCCAGGCCAGCAUCAGUUCGUCGCGGGGGAUAAAGGCGUCGGGAAUGUGGCUCCUCGGAGUGUUAUAGCCCUUCGCGCAAUACCCUGCGGUGGACUGAGGUUCGCGCUCUGCAAGGAUGCUGGCGUAAUGGUCAUCAACGACCCGUCUUGAAACACGGACCAAGGAGUCGUCUUCGUAUGCGAGUGUUCGGGUGUAAAACCCCUACGCGUAAUGAAAGUGAACGCAGGUGAGAGCUUCGGCGCAUCAUCGACCGAUCCUGAUGUUCUCGGAUGGAUUUGAGUAAGAGCAUACGGGGCCGGACCCGAAAGAAGGUGAACUAUGCCUGUAUAGGGUGAAGCCAGAGGAAACUCUGGUGGAGGCUCGCAGCGGUUCUGACGUGCAAAUCGAUCGUCAAAUAUGGGCAUGGGGCGAAAGACUAAUCGACCU